GGUUGAUGUCCUCAUAGAAGGAGAGACAGUAAGGGGAAGACAGGGGGACCAGCCAUCCCUAGUGCAUUAAAUCUUUCAAAUAAAGACUACAGCUGUAACACAGUUUGCUUCUCACCUUUUUAGACGGCCAGACCUGGCUCCAAGUGUGUAGGUAAACAUAUCAAUUAAGGGAGACACAACCCUUCUUUUGUCCAGUUGUUUCUGGGUUUGGGUUUGGUACUGCAGAUUUGGUUAAUGCAAUGCCUCCUGUGGCCAAGCAUUCGUGCUCUAGCCCCCUUGAGGCUUAACGUGUUUUGGUUCCUCUGCAUAUGCACUACCUACUUAAUGAGGCUCUACACACUAUUAAGACCACACAGUCACCUGCUGAAGGUUCUGAAGUGCUGGACUAUUUUUUUCCAGCCACUUCCUGCUCUUCCUUGUCAUUUUCUGCUUCAGACUGUUGUGCACAAUAAAUGGGAGAAACUUGGCUCUGCUCUGGUUACCUCCACCAAGUUCACCAAGAUGUUUUCUUUGCCUGAGGUGGAUGUCAUAUCGUGGGACACUGUUUCUAAGGUUGAUGAAGUGAUUUCUACUUUAUCCAAAAC